GUUAUGGCUCAGCGGUAGAGUACACACCUAGCACGUGGGAGACCCUAGGUUCGAUCCUCAGCACAACA
rnacentral:tRNA from 1 species